CAACCAUGCGAAGACGGAGGCAGAGAUUGAAGUGAUCUAGGGACAAGCCAAGGAAUGCCAAAGAUUGCUGGCAAUCACAAGAAACUGGAAAAGACAAGGAAGGUUCCUUCCUCCCCUCGAGUCUUCAGAGCAAAAGCACGGCUUUGAUUUCAGACUUCCAGCCUCCAGAACUGACCUCAGAAGAAAAAAAGGAGCCUCAUGAAAGAAUGCUAAGGUUUCUUUGGGAAACCCAAUAGAUAAAACUCCAUACCGAGAGAUUAAGGAUUCUUAACCCAGGGUCCAGGAACAGGCUCAGGAAUCCAACAGGCCCUGACACCUGUUUCCUAAAUGAAUCAGUGAACGCAUGAACUAGUUUACAAGACCUGGGUAUCGUCUCCAGCCAUCAAAAAAGAGACUUAAAUUGCUUCCAACCCCAGCAGCAGGCAGCUGGACUCACUGGGGAAUCAGACACUGGAAGAGGAAGCCUAAAUGCCUCCGAGGCCUCACAGCAAAAAGCCUGACCGAUGUUGAAAAAAGAGGUGGUUCUGCAUAGUGGUAUACACUUGAGAGCUCUUAAGCCACUCCCAGGUCCUCAUCCCAGCUCCCCUCAUUUACCUGCUCUGUCACCUCAGGCACAUCCUUUACCCUCUCUGAACCUACUUCCGUAUCUGUGCUGAGACAAUGAGAAACAAAGACAAGAAAUUUUAAGAAAAAAUCAGGCACCAAUGACCCAAAUGCCGCCUCAAGAUUUUGUCUCAUGCCUGCAAAUGGAAUCGGGGAUGUUCUCCUAUGGCCCUAAAUACACAAAUGAGAGAUGUGACCUCCUGUUUGCUGGUCCUGAGGACUGCCACAAAAUCAACCAACCGGUCCCCACAGGAACGUGGAGCUACUACAACCACAGGGGUUAUCUCAUUAUUUCAGAAUCAUUUCCUAAUUCCUACCAAGCUGGGAGCUUCCAAAGAGCAGGCUGUGGGGUCUCAGACUUUUCCACACCUGAAUAUUACAUCAUCUGACAUGUUUGAGACUCACAACAGACUCCCCAGACAAAACGAACCUCUAGGAGGUAAAGAAGCACUUCCCAAUAAAGACCCCAGCAGAAACAUUUGUUCCCCAUCAUAUGCCCAGCAUGAAACCCCCAGAAGUCAUCGAGGAUGAAAGUCAAGGGAAGGAGGGAAGAAGGCUUUUUGCAGUGAGAAAAAAAAAAAAAAAAUAGGGAAUCUAAAAAUCCUGGCGAUUGCAACAGAAAGAAACAGUGCAAACCCUAAAGGAGACAGACCGAUCGUAUUUUUCUAUCCUGUGAUGAGACAGAAACCAUGAAUGAGGCUCAGCAGACUUUGCAUCCAGGAAACCCCUCAGCAGUAACAGCUCAGAGGCAGGGACAGAGGGAAGAUGGGUGUUCCUCCAGAUUGCUCCUGGGGGCUCACUGUCACAGCUAGAGGCAACUUCAGGCGGGCGCCUAUGAGUCAAGAUUCAAGGACUGAGCCAUUUGGGGGGUGAUGUCCCUUUAAAUAAAGGAAGUAAGGCAGGGCUCCGCAGCUGUGGCUAUAAACGCUCUCUCCCAGCCUCUGUCAGAACCACCCACUGCUCUGGCAAGCUUGUGUCUCCAGCCCUGGUCACCCCUCCCGCUGGCUCAAAGCUGGCCUCAGAUUUUGAGGACUGGCUGCACCUCGCGGGCCCGCUCCCAUAUAGACAAAAACCAACCCCUAGGUGCAGCAGAGGGGUGAGGAUAGGGGGAUCAGCUGGUGGCCACGGAGAAAUAAAACAACCGGGAUUAUUUGUUCCGUGGGGGUCCUGUCUCAGCAACCAUGCCUGGACUGGAUUCUCCUCACACCUAAACGGUCACCAGCGAGACCUGGAGGCCACCAGUGGGACCCUUUGGGGGGGGGGUCACAAUUUCAUUUUCUUGGACCCUGUAUUCCAAAUGGAAGGUCAACAAGGAUGGCUUCCCCUUCCUAAAGGGUCUCUAGGAAUCUAUCCGACAUUUUGGUUCAAAAGAAUUCCAGAAACUCAGGGACUCUCAGGGGCCACACUGAAAAAAUUCUUCCUGCCCAGCUGAGCAGUGGAGGCGGCCAGUCCGCA